rnacentral:rRNA from 1 species
UACGGAGGGUGCAAGCGUUAAUCGGAAUUACUGGGCGUAAAGCGUGCGCAGGCGGUUUGUUAAGUCCGUUGUGAAAGCCCCGAGCUCAACUUGGGAAUUGCAGUGGAUACUGGCAGGCUGGAGUACGGUAGAGGAAGGUGGAAUUCCCGGUGUAGUAGUGAAAUGCGUAGAGAUCGGGAGGAACACCAGUGGCGAAGGCGGCCUUCUGGACCAGUACUGACGCUCAUGCACGAAAGCGUGGGGAGCAAACAGG